CCGUAACUCCGGUUGAUCCUGCCGGACCCGACCGCUAUCGGGGUGGGGCUAAGCCAUGGGAGUCGCACGCUCCGCCGCCGCGGGGCGUGGCGCACGGCUGAGUAGCACGUGGCUAACCUGCCCUCGGGAGGGGGAUAACACCGGGAAACUGGUGCUAAUCCCCCAUAGGGGAAGGCGCCUGGAAGGGUCCUUCCCCGAAAAGGCCCGGCAGGGGUUAGCGCUGCCGAGCCGCCCGA
rnacentral:rRNA from 1 species